rnacentral:lncRNA from 1 species
UAGCUUGAUGUCUUCAAGCUUUAAGAGCUUAGCCCCAAUAGUGUGGAAGCCUCAAAUGGAAUCACAAAUCACCAAAACACCUUGGAAGACUUUAGAGAAUAUGGAUACUUGGUUCUCUCUAGUGAAAUUGGCUAGCCCUUCUUAGUGUACCACACUAGUGCCCAUUUCACCAACCAAGGACAUCUUUAUAUAGUGUGGAGGAUUAGGGUUAAACCCUAAUACCCAUGACCUUUCAUUUCCUAGGAUCCAUGGGUUAAACACUCCAUGGACUAUCCAUGAAAGCUUAGCCCAACCUAAAUGAACUUGGCCCAUUCCAUAUAUAUAAGAGUCCAUAUUUAAUUAGUUCCUUUUGAUCACUUAAUUAAUUAUAAAUUAAUUCUUGAUCAAUACUAAUUAAAUAAUAUGAUUCCAUAUUAAUAUAUUAGAACUUAUAAUAUAUUAAUAUUAAUCAUAAACAUACUAUUCUCAAAAGAUUAUCCAUAUAAAUUGUGUCGGUGAAGUGCAACCCAAAUGGACCAUGCCGGGUCGGGUCAAGUACAUACCAAAUAUAGUUAUGGACUUAGACAUUAAUCCAACAGUCUCCCACUUGGAUAAGUCUAAAACUAUUAUUGCGUAUGACUUCAAACCUAACUGGCAAUCGUAGCUCUUAAAGCCGCUGUCGAACUCUGAUCUUGUCAACGAACUUGUCCAUUAGAUAAGGGAUCAUAUAUUCCUCCAUUCUAGAUAUCAUAUGGACUGAGACAUGGAUUAUAAUCAUUCUCUCUGUCCAUUUGUUGUUUCCCGAUUUCCGAUUUAUGACGACUGACUAAUUGAACAAAUCAAAUCAGUCCUGGCCCGGCCGAGCACUUCCAUUUGUCAUCAUCAAAUCAUCGAGGGGCCCACAGAUAUCGCUUUUAUCCCGAAGGUAAAAGGAAUGGAUAAACUUCGACUCAUAUGGCUUGUUCUACUACUUGUUGAAUCAUACACAAAGGCACGUUUUAUAGCACCGAGUUACCAAAUGCGUUUUCGUGCAAUCAAUGUACAACCAACUCAUAGUAACAACUCAUAUCUCUAGGUUUGAAGAAUAUAAGAUAUUAUCGUCUCAUGAUCACUCGUGAUAAAAUCCAUGAAGUGAUUCCAAUGAGCGCGGGUUGAAUCCAAUACUCAGAACUUAUGAGCACUCAUGAGUGUUGUAGCCCUUUGUCCAACACCUUAGACCUCUACAAGCCAACCCAUGACAGUCUUAAUUCAUAUCUACUUCCAACAUAUGACCGACUGUGGAUGGUUUGAAUAACUUAGUCAUUCCGGAAGAAUAACCUAGUUUAUUCGGGAAGUCAAAACAUGCAAAGUGAAACACAAUAAUAAUUGAAUCCAAUAUGGUAUCAACCCUUUGAACAUAAAUAAAACACCUUUUAUUUAUCACCAUAUGAUUACACAUUAUUCAUUGUAUACUGUUUCAGCUAUCAACUUUAUUCUUGAAUUUAAAACAAUAGUUGUCCCAUGCUCCAAGCAUGUACACUAUGUUUUCUUAAACACUAGUCAUGCCACACACCAAGUAUGCAUACUAUGUUUGUCUAUGAUCUUUACUUUGUGAACUAGAUCAAUUGAACAUAACUUCAAUGAUUCUCUUUUCACACUCCCAAAUCCUUACUGCAAAUGCAAGAAUUCCAAAUUCAUGCCAUUUACUGAAAUCUGUUAGAUUCUAAACUUAUAUGCAUUGAUCCUCUUGUAAUGAUUAUGCACAAAGUCACAAAGACUUGGCAACAAUCAUUACAGAGUAUUCCAAAGGAGAUCAACUCCUUGGAAAUAUCCUUCUUGCAUUAAGUUUCCUUAAUCUUACACAGAUUGAAAAUUCUAACUUUGAAACAUUUCCAGAUUCCAUUUUGACUAUCACUUCUGAACAAGAGUUGCCUCCUUACAGAUUAUGUCAAUAUGGUCCUUCCAGAAUUAUCACUAUACUUCCAAUUGUCCUUGAGUAACCAAUCUUUGGUAAACCUUAGAUUGUCCUCGACAAUUGUUUAAUCCUUUUAGUCAUAUCCAGUUCUAAACCUUUUCCCUUCUUAAUGCCCCAGGCAUUUGGAAAAUUUUAGAACGGAUGAAUAUAGCACAUGUAAUCGAUCCUAUAUCCGAAGCAUAUGGGACACGAUUCAUGAUGUCUUACAUAAAGACUAAACCAGUCUUUUGCUAUAAUAUUUCCAUUUCAAUUUGCCAAGUUCUCAUAAUUCAGAUUAUGAAAAGGGAUGCCGUAAUCAUAAUCGAAUUUUAGAACGCAAAUAAUGGACCCAUAUACAGAAUUUCCUUAUGUUGAGCCAUUCCAACAUGAAAUUCAUAUAUAUCCUUGACUAAAUGAUUAAAACCUCACGAUCUAAGCUUAUAGAUUUGAGAUGAAGCAUAAUUUCCUCUCCCUUAAUUAUAGCAAAACAACUUUUUCCCAAUUGAAACUUUUGUUUUCUAUAAUUAACAUUGCUAACUUGCAAUACUUAUCAUAAUUAUCAUGCUCCCACUAACAUGAUGAUUAUUAGCAUAACACUUAUGCUCCCACUAGCUUUGACAUGUACUCAGAAAUCAGCUGGACAGUCUGAAAUUUAGAUUCAUACACCCUUUCCGUAGAUAGCUCACCUGUGUGUCUAAGCAAUUUCAAGAACCAUGAAAAGGGAUACCGUAAUCAUGGUCUCAAUUGCUUAGGCAUUUGCCAUUUCUCACAAGUCCAUGUUAGUGUGCCGGUUAACCACACGCGCUCCACUAACGACUUUUGAAAAUGCAAAUAACACAAUUGAUAUCUUCGUAAAAUCUACUUAGUGAAAGCGUUUCCUCACCAUCAUUUUCAUGAAUCGGAGAGAAACCUUAUGACACUUAGAUUUAUAUGGUGUAUGAGUUCCUACCCAUAUGAAUUUGUCAAACCAUAAUCACAAGACAAAGAUAAUGACAAAUCCAAAACCAUAUGGAUUGAACUCAAUCUUAACUUCUUGCCACCUGGCAGCUCAAGGGCCUGCCAUUGCUUCCAAGUUGUUGUGCAACAAAUUGAGAACUCUAAGAACUCAUAUGCAAAACCAACUUUAACUGGAAUGGGCACAGAAUAUGUCAACACGAUAGGUUAUGAACCUCAAGUCGUGUGCUAGUGAAGAACUUUAGGUUUUAUUCUUGAUUAUUUCUUGAGACUUUCAAGACCUUUAAGACUCCCACUGUCCUCUUGACAUAUAAGACUCCCUUGUCAAACAUCCAAGAGAUAGUGCGGAUUCUAAUCAAGAAAAACACUUUACCCAAUUGGCCUAAGUUGGUCUUUGUUUUAUCCAAAACAUCACAACUUACCAAUUUCAAAUGUACAAGAGUAGAAAACUUUUACUCUUACAUUUGACAAGUGUUUUAAACCUUCUUUAAGACAUGUCACUCAAAUGACAAUCUUGGAGUAUGACUCUAAGACUUGUAUUGGAACGAAGUAUGACUCAUCUUCUUGAUUUAACCAUUUCAACAAUUCAAGUUCCUCUUCUUAGUCAUAAGAAUGCACUAAGAUUUCCUUAGAGAACUAAUUUUGAUAUGGUUUCUUAAUCAUUAAGAUGAUCACAAAACUGAUACUAAAGUACUCUCCCAUCUUUUCAGAUUUGAGAAACUUUUAUCCUUCUGCCUUAUUUGAUUCUUCUUAUCGAUCUUUAGUGGUGGACUUAAUCAGUGCACAAGAAUGUGUACUCGAUCCCUAAGUCCUUUACUUGACUCACACAUCCAUGUGAACAAGUAAUUAGUCUUAAUUUUCCAAAACUUGAAAGUUCUCAUUCAUCAUGCUAUACAACUUGCAUGAUUCCAAGUUCCGGUCCAAUUGAAACUUGGGUGAUGAGAAUCUUUCCUUAUUUGGUAAAUUUAGACAUUACCACAAAUGAAAGAAUCAAUUUCAUACUUCCACUCUUGCUACUAAUGGAAUCUUAUAAGCAACAAAAAUUUCCACAGAUGCCAUUGUAAGGAUAUUUUAAAAUAAAUAAAAUCAAAAAUUUCCUUUUAUUUUAAAACUUUGCGGAAAAACUAUCCUUACAAUCCAUAUGAAAACUUGUUGUUAUCUAUUCCUAAGCAAUAUCUCAUAACUCCUAAGAAGUAGCUCAAGAAUCCGAUUUUUCAAACUAUGCGAUAGAAAUCCAUCUAUGCGAUCAGAUUCAGCAUAUUCUUCCUUUAAGUUUCUUCACUUUCCUUUGAUUCUUAAACCAUCACCAUGCGACCCGGUCACAUCAUGUAUCAAGAAUCUCAGAAUAGAAACUUAACAGAGUUAGAUAGUGGAUUUUACCUGAAGUAGAGUCAAACUUAUUGACUUUAACAUCCUUAGGUAAAUUUGGCAGCUUCGCAACCAAUGCCCUUUCUUUGGCAAUACAAACAUAUGGACCCUUUGAUAAUGGUACACAGGACUAUCACAGACUUAGCUUUUCUCUUUACCAUUUGGUCAACCGAGUUGACUAUAGCCGAUCCCUUUCCAUUGGGAAGAGAAUGCUUUACUGGAUAUCCAAUGUCAUCAUUGUCAAUGUCCAUAAAGUUUUAGGAAGUUGAUCUUAGCAAAUAGAUAAGAUCAUUAAGGGUCUUGUCAUAGUCUGUUUCAUAGGUGUCCCAAAGGAACUCACUAUGUGACUUAGAAAGUGGUUGAACCACCAACUUUCUCAAGACUUUGACACCCAACUCUCCCGGCUUGUCAAUAUGUGACUACAUCUCCAAGAUGUGACCACACCUAGACCUUGCCUUGCCAAUAGGGCCUGAGUGACCUUAAACUUUUCAAGAACUUGUGGGUUAGGGAGAAUAAUUUGAAGAGGUGAAGAAGUAUGAUAUCCAUGGGACAUCAUCUUCAUUAGGAAACCUUGUUUCAAGAGAUUUGGGAAGAUCAUAGGUGUCUAAACCAGACAUCUUUUGGGAGAUAUUCAAGAUAGUUGAUUUAAAGUCCUUAAUAUGACACCCAAUAUGAAAUAUUAAGGCUAGGACCCAACAAACUAUUUUAUAACUUAGAAGAGGUAUGCCGUAAUCCAAGCUAUAAAAUAUUUGAAGGUAGGUGAAUGACGAUUCACCAAUUUCCACCAAGAUAAACGAAAUGUAUUAUUAGGUUUUAAUUGGUUUUGAAACUCCUAGAUCUUUGAGAUUCAUUGAACUUUUCAAAGGCAUGUUUCAAUCUCGAGUGUGCCCUUCAGGUUUUGUGACUGGGAUGCCGAGGAUCACAAAACAAGGUGUGAAGUAACCAUGCAAAUCACUUGGUACCCUUAAUAAAUUACCCCUCAAUCGAUGUGCCGGUUAACCACACACGCUCCAUCGAUACUAUGAUAAAUAUUAAGUCACCCUUUACCUACCUUGUUAAGUCCAAGUUAGUGUGCCGGUUAACCACACACGCUCCACUAACGACUUAGACAAAGUGUAAAGUGUAAUUUCAUGGAUUAGCACCUUAUUCACAUUUUUCCUAAGUAACUAAGAUUGGGUAUUAUUAAGAGUUUAGUUACUUAGUAUUAUCAUUAAUACUUUUAAUGAAGGGAGAAUUCUAGUCCUGUCAAACCCGUUCGGCUAACGACCCUCCACCAGUCAAGCAAGCGGUGGGUGAGAGUGGACACCCAUUAAGUUGCCAUUUUAUAGGCAACAACCUUAUACCCACCUUAUAGACCGGCUUCGUGAAUGAGGCGUACUAGCGGUAAGACUGACUUUACUCUUAUACAUAUAUAUAUUAUUAACUUAUAAUAUUAUAAAGUAUAAGGGUUGAAUUUUAACUUUUAAAAUUCUAAGGGCUAACUUGGAAUUAAAGUAUUCAUAAGUGAAAACUUUACAAAUUCCAAAACUUGAGGGCAAGUUUUGAAACUAUUCAAAACUAAUUAAUUCCAUAACUUAUGUGUUUAAAGUAGUUUUAAUCCAAAAACUCUUCAAGUUCCAUAACUUGAGGACAAGUUAUGGAAGACUUUAAACUAAUAAAAGAAUUAACUUUUCUUUAUUUUAUAACUUAUGGAAUUAAUUAAGGUUACACUUUUUUUUAAUUUAUUAUUUAAUGAAGAGACUCUUGGUCAUCCAUAACUUGAGGACAAGUUAUGGAGUCAUAAAACAAUUUAAUGAGGAAAAAGACUCUUCAUUUUGUAACCUAUGACAACUUUUAUGAGUUUUAAGAUUCAUAAAUGUGACUUAUAAGUUACAUAAACACAUUUUAUGAACUUCUUUUAGAUUAAUUUGGAUUAAAACCAACUAUCACAUAAUUUUAUUCAUUAAUCUAAAUUCACUCAUAAAACAAGGUAACACAAAAAACUUUUGGUGAUCCAUAACUUAUUCUUAAGUUAUGGAAUCCUUUAAAACAUUAACACCAAAUUUUGUAACUCCAUAAAAACUUUGAAUCAAUUUUUUUUUAAAACCUUUUCAUAUCCAUAACUUAUGGAGGUUUCAAAAAAUAAAACUCUUUAGAUCAAACUUUUAAAACUAAUAAAAUAAUCAUAUUAUUUUAUCUUUUAUUAAAUUUGACCUAAUUCAACUCAUAAAGCAAAUUAUUCAAAUUUUACAAAUAAUUAGUUUUUCACAAGAACAAGUAAUUAUCUUAAAAUUUGACAAACUUCAUGGUUUAUUUUUUAUUUUUUUUUUUUUUUUUUUUCAACUUUGAAAAUAAAAUAUUUGCAUCAAUAUAACAGAAAACAACCCUAGGCUCUGAUACCACUGUUGGGUUUUGAGCAUUCUAACACUCCUAUGGUGUACAUGCAACCCUAUAAACCUUGGAUCUAUGUUUUCUCUAUAAUACAUGCAAAUAAGAACUUUCCAAGGCUUUAAUCCUAACUAGCAUAUUAUGAAGUUCUUAUACUACAAAGUACUAGUUAGAUGACAUACCUUUUGAUGUAGCUUGAUGUCUUCAAGCUUUAAGAGCUUAGCCCCAAUAGUGUGGAAGCCUCAAAUGGAAUCACAAAUCACCAAAACACCUUGGAAGACUUUAGAGAAUAUGGAUACUUGGUUCUCUCUAGUGAAAUUGGCUAGCCCUCUUAGUGUACCCACACUAGUGCCCAUUUCACCAACCAAGGACAUCUUUAUAUAGUGUGGAGGAUUAGGGUUAAACCCUAAUACCCAUGACCUUUCAUUUCCUAGGAUCCAUGGGUUAAAGACUCCAUGGACUAUCUAUGAAAGCUUAGCCCAACCUAAAUGAACUUGGCCCAUUCCAUAUAUAUAAGAGUCCAUAUUUAAUUAGUUCCUUUUGAUCACUUAAUUAAUUAUAAAUUAAUUCUUGAUCAAUACUAAUUAAACGAUAUGAUUCCAUAUUGAUAUAUUAGAACUUAUAAUAUAUUAAUAUUAAUCAUAAACAUACUAUUCUCAAAAGAUUAUCCAUAUAAAUUGUGUCAGUGAAGUGCAACCUAAAUGGACCAUGUCGGGUCGGGUCAAGUACAUACCAAAUAUAGUUAUGGACUUAGACAUUAAUCC